rnacentral:rRNA from 1 species
AGUCGAUGGGAAACAGGUUAAUAUUCCUGUACUUGGUGUUACUGCGAAGGGGGGACGGAGAAGGCUAUGUUGGCCGGGCGACGGUUGUCCCGGUUUAAGCGUGUAGGCUGGUUUUCCAGGCAAAUCCGGAAAAUCAAGGCUGAGGCGUGAUGACGAGGCACUACGGUGCUGAAGCAACAAAUGCCCUGCUUCCAGGAAAAGCCUCUAAGCAUCAGGUAACAUCAAAUCGUACCCCAAACCGACACAGGUGGUCAGGUAGAGAAUACCAAGGCGCUUGAGAGAACUCGGGUGAAGGAACUAGGCAAAAUGGUGCCGUAACUUCGGGAGAAGGCACGCUGAUAUGUAGGUGAAGUCCCUUGCGGAUGGAGCUGAAAUCAGUCGAAGAUACCAGCUGGCUGCAACUGUUUAUUAAAAACACAGCACUGUGCAAACACGAAAGUGGACGUAUACGGUGUGACGCCUGCCCGGUGCCGGAAGGUUAAUUGAUGGGGUCAGCGCAAGCGAAGCUCUUGAUCGAAGCCCCGGUAAACGGCGGCCGUAACUAUAACGGUCCUAAGGUAGCGAAAUUCCUUGUCGGGUAAGUUCCGACCUGCACGAAUGGCGUAAUGAUGGCCAGGCUGUCUCCACCCGAGACUCAGUGAAAUUGAACUCGCUGUGAAGAUGCAGUGUACCCGCGGCAAGACGGAAAGACCCCGUGAACCUUUACUAUAGCUUGACACUGAACAUUGAGCCUUGAUGUGUAGGAUAGGUGGGAGGCUUUGAAGUGUGGACGCCAGUCUGCAUGGAGCCGGCCUUGAAAUACCACCCUUUAAUGUUUGAUGUUCUAACGUGGACCCGUGAUCCGGGUUGCGGACAGUGUCUGGUGGGUAGUUUGACUGGGGCGGUCUCCUCCUAAAGAGUAACGGAGGAGCACGAAGGUUGGCUAAUCCUGGUCGGACAUCAGGAGGUUAGUGCAAUGGCAUAAGCCAGCUUGACUGCGAGCGUGACGGCGCGAGCAGGUGCGAAAGCAGGUCAUAGUGAUCCGGUGGUUCUGAAUGGAAGGGCCAUCGCUCAACGGAUAAAAGGUACUCCGGGGAUAACAGGCUGAUACCGCCCAAGAGUUCAUAUCGACGGCGGUGUUUGGCACCUCGAUGUCGGCUCAUCACAUCCUGGGGCUGAAGUAGGUCCCAAGGGUAUGGCUGUUCGCCAUUUAAAGUGGUACGCGAGCUGGGUUUAGAACGUCGUGAGACAGUUCGGUCCCUAUCUGCCGUGGGCGCUGGAGAACUGAGGGGGGCUGCUCCUAGUACGAGAGGACCGGAGUGGACGCAUCACUGGUGUUCGGGUUGUCAUGCCAAUGGCACUGCCCGGUAGCUAAAUGCGGAAGAGAUAAGUGCUGAAAGCAUCUAAGCACGAAACUUGCCCCGAGAUGAGUUCUCCCUGACCCUUUAAGGGUCCUGAAGGAACGUUGAAGACGACGACGUUGAUAGGCCGGGUGUGUAAGCGCAGCGAUGCGUUGAGCUAACCGGUACUAAUGAACCGUGAGGCUUAACCUUACAACGCCGAAG